UACGUAGGGUGCAAGCGUUGUCCGGAAUUAUUGGGCGUAAAGAGCUCGUAGGCGGUUUGUCGCGUCUGCUGUGAAAACCUAGGGCUUAACCCUGGGCCUGCAGUGGGUACGGGCAGACUAGAGUGCGGUAGGGGAGACUGGAAUUCCUGGUGUAGCGGUGAAAUGCGCAGAUAUCAGGAGGAACACCGGUGGCGAAGGCGGGUCUCUGGGCCGUAACUGACGCUGAGGAGCGAAAGCGUGGGGAGCAAACAGG
rnacentral:rRNA from 1 species